GUCUGUUGUAGCCUCUGAUAUAGAGGGGAAAUUGACAGGGUGGAGGAGUGGGAGCCCCACGCAAAGUCUCAAAGCCUCUGAUGUGUAGGUGUGGGAAGAAGCUGUAUAUUGCAGAGCAAUAAUGCUGCCGUGGAAUUUACAUGACAUGUCACCAUUUCUCCUCAACUGAACCUGGCGGAUAGCAGCGACACAAAACUGCCAUCUCCGUGGCCCUAUGUAGAAUGCAAGGAACGGAUCUUGUCCAUGCUCAGGCAUAAAAGGACAAGAAAAAGCGGAUUCGGCCUGAUCACGUGUUCUUCCAAAUCAUUUUCAUCUGCCACCAGGACUUUUGGCUUUUGAAAACCUAAAUAUUUGACUCUUUUGUUUCAUAGUUCCAUUGUGUCAGUCUUCUCUUGAGACGCUUGCAGCCCGCUGCCUGAAUAAAUGAAGGCUUUAGAAAAAAAAAUAUCUGUGACUAUAUCAAAAUAUGGUCC
ensembl:lincRNA